AUAAAGCAUGAGGCUAAAAUGGCAGAAUUGUCAGUUUUGGUUGAGCUAUCUCUAUAAGUUAAAGUAUAUAAGUUGAUGUUCAUAUGCCUAAUUAAUAUAGAUAUCAAUAAAAAGGUCUGCUAGUCUAAAUUUCUAUUUUGAUUGAUCUUUUGAUGUUUUAUUUAAAACCCACUCUUUUAUUUGCUCAGCAGGCUAUUUUCACAUGGAGGUAAUCUUCUAUUGAUAAUUUCUGGAUUUUAAUUAUGUGUAAGUUGCAUAAAACUCUAUUGUUUAACCACUCACUCACUGUUGUUUGCAAAUUACUCGUGUAACUUGUCUUUCAGAAUGUUUUCAGCUGUUGAAUUCACCUCAGAUCAGUGUUGCUGUAAUUCCCGAUCUAUGGAAAGAAUAAUUGGAUGAGCGAGCAACGCCACAACUACAGGGCCUGUUCUUUCUCUUCUCAUCAUUUAACUGGAUUAUCUGUUGAAUUUGUUUCUUCCUCUGACUGCUUUCUCCAUACCAACAACU